rnacentral:rRNA from 1 species
GACGAACGCUGGCGGCGUGCCUAAUACAUGCAAGUAGGACGCAGUUGCGAACGGGUGAGUAACGCGUAGGUCACUGCCUAGUAGAGGGGGAUAACUACUGGAAACGAUAGCUAAUACCGCAUACUAGUAGAUGGAGCUGCGUUGUGUUAGCUAGUAGGUAGGGUAAUGGCCUCCCUAGGCGACGAUACAUAGCCGACCUGAGAGGGUGAUCGGCCACACUGGGACUGAGAAACGGCCCAGACUCCUACGGGAGGCAGCAGUAGGGGAUCUUCGGCCAUGGGGGGAACCCUGACCGCGCAACGCCGCGGGAGUUAAGAAGGGUUUCGGAUCUUAAAGCUCUGUUGUUAAGGAAGCGGUACUUAACCAGGAAGGAACGGCUAACUACGUGCCAGCAGCCGCGGUAAUAC